rnacentral:rRNA from 1 species
AUUGAACGCUGGCAGCAUGCUUUACACAUGCAAGUCGAACGGCAGCGCGGGCUUCGGCCUGGCGGCGAGUGGCGAACGGGUGAGUAAUGCAUCGGAACGUGCCCAGUAGUGGGGGAUAGCCCGGCGAAAGCCGGAUUAAUACCGCAUACGACCUGAGGGUGAAAGCGGGGGACCGAAAGGCCUCGCGCUAUUGGGUCGGCCGAUGUCGGAUUAGCUAGUUGGUGGGGUAAAGGCUUACCAAGGCGACGAUCCGUAGCUGGUCUGAGAGGACGACCAGCCAAACUGGGACUGAGACAAGGCCCAGACUCCUAAGGGAGGCAGCAGUGGGGAAUUUUGGAAAAUGGGGGCAACCCUGAUCCAGACAUGCCGCGUGCGGGAAGAAGGCCUUCGGGUUGUAAACCGCUUUUGUUCGGGAAGAAAGCCUCUGGGCUAAUACCCCGGGGGGAUGACGGUACCGGAAGAAUAAGCACCGGCUAACUACGUG